rnacentral:rRNA from 1 species
GACGAACGCUGGCGGCGUGCUUAACACAUGCAAGUCGAACGGUAAGGCCCUUCGGGGUACACGAGUGGCGAACGGGUGAGUAACACGUGGGUGAUCUGCCCUGCACUUCGGGAUAAGCCGGGGAAACUGGGUCUAAUACCGGAUAGGACCACUGCCUGCAUGGGUGGUUGUGGACAGCUUUUGCGGUGUGGGAUGGGCCCGCGGGCUAGCAGCUUGUUGGCGGGGUGAUGGCCUACCAAGGCGACGACGGGUAGCCGGCCUGAGAGGGUGACCGGCCACACUGGGACUGAGAUACGGCCCAGACUCCUACGGGAGGCAGCAGUGGGGAAUAUUGCACAAUGGGCGCAAGCCUGAUGCAGCGACGCCGCGUGAGGGAUGACGGCCUUCGGGUUGUAAACCUCUUUCAGCACCGACGAAGCGCAAGUGACGGUAGGUGCAGAAGAAGGACCGGCCAACUACGUGCCAGCCGCCGCCGUAA